rnacentral:rRNA from 1 species
GAGAAAGAGAACUUCGGUUCUUGAGUAUAGCGGCGAACGGGUGAGUAACACGUGGGUAAUUUACCCUUGAGACGGGGAUAACCCGGGGAAACCCUGGCUAAUACCGGAUAAGACCACGGAGGGAAACCUUUGCGGUCAAAGGAAGCUUCUUUCGGGGAGCUCCCGCUCAGGGAGGAGCCCGCGUCCUAUCAGCUUGUUGGUGGGGUAACGGCCUACCAAGGCGAAGACGGGUAGCUGGUCUGAGAGGAUGAUCAGCCACACAGGGACUGAGACACGGCCCUGACUCCUACGGGAGGCAGCAGUGGGGAAUAUUGGACAAUGGGGGAAACCCUGAUCCAGCGACGCCGCGUGGGUGAUGAAGGCUUUCGGGUCGUAAAGCCCUGUCGGGAGGAAAGAACGAUUCUGUGGUAAAUAUCCACAGAAAGUGACGGUACCUCCAAAGGAAGCACCGGCCAACUCCGUGCCAGCAGCCGCGGUAAGACGGAGGGUGCAAACGUUGCUCGGAAUCACUGGGCGUAAAGGGUGCGUAGGCAGCCCUUCAAGUCUGGCGUGAAAGCCCAGGGCUCAGCCUUGGAAGUGCGCUAGAAACGGGAGGGCUUGAGUGUCGGAGGGGAGAGUGGAAUUCCUGGUGUAGCGGUGAAAUGCGUAGAUAUCAGGAGGAAUACCGGUGGCGAAAGCGACUCUCUGGACGACAACUGACGCUGAGGCACGAAAGCGUGGGGAGCAAACAG